rnacentral:rRNA from 1 species
CGGGGGGGCGCACAAGCAGCGGAGCAUGUGGUUUAAUUCGAAGCAACGCGAAGAACCUUACCAAGGCUUGACAUAUACAGGGAUAUCCUAGAGAUAGGAUAGUCUUUUCGGAGACUUGUAUACAGGUGGUGCAUGGUUGUCGUCAGCUCGUGUCGUGAGAUGUUGGGUUAAGUCCCGUAACGAGCGCAACCCUUAUCUUUAGUUACUAGCGAGUAAAGUCGAGGACUCUAGAGAGACUGCCGGUGAUAAACCGGAGGAAGGUGGGGAUGACGUCAAAUCAUCAUGCCCUAUAUGUCUUGGGCUACACACGUGCUACAAUGGUCUGAACAAAGCGCAGCUACCUCGUGAGAGCAAGCGAAUCGCAUAAAACAGAUCUCAGUUCGGAUUGCAGGCUGCAACUCGCCUGCAUGAAGUCGGAGU